rnacentral:lncRNA from 1 species
UAAAUAUAGUUUCCUCUAUUAAACACUUAAGCCUGACCAUCUUAUUAAUUCUAUUUUUUAACAAGGUAAUGUUUUAAAUGUAUAGUUGUAGCGAAACGGCAACAAUAACAAAAAAACUGUGAGCUGUUGUUACUGUUAAAUUUUCUAAAAACCUUUUACAUUGUAAGUACCCAAUCCAUUCUGUCCUUAACUGCACUGCCGUUCUCGUGUUACUGUCGCCUGAGAUGUCCUGAAUUUUCGGAAGCUUCAUCUGCAUGUAUGUCUUUGUCUUUGUCUGAUGUAAGUCAGUUAAAAUGCUUUUAGACGUUUUUGCUUCUAUAAAGCUACGAUUUUUUAGCUUCGAGCUUUUUGGAAAAAAAAAAAUGUUUACAGCCAUAGUUGCUAUUCAGAUUUCUUCCCAGUAGCUCGUACACUCUUUGAAAAUCGAUCUAUUUGAAGAAAAACAGCUGUUUUUCUCGAACUGGGUGUGGGGUGGUGGAGGGUAAGAGAAAGGAAGACCUUUUGUAUAAAAAAAGACUGAAAGCCGCCUCUGAAAACUAGAUUAAAACUGGAAAACAAGCCCUUAGCCGGUUCAAGCCAAACACCUACGUUGAGUCGGUGGUAUUUUCUGUGGCGGUUGGGAUGGCUGGUUUUGCCUUUUGUUUUGAUUUGACUUGUGUUUUCGCCUUUUGUUUCUUAAUGACGAUCACACCAUUGGUAAAUCCAGAGCACUAAACAGCCCUCAGCGAAGCCGCCUUUUUGCCAGCCCAACCCUGGAAAGUUUGCAGUCGUGGAAGGAGCAGAAAUACCACGAGUGUAACUUACAAAGAAGGUCUUGGCCGGAGACCGGAGCCAUGUCUGUGUUAUCCCCACUGUAGACAAUCCUUGCUUCCUCUGGACAUCUGGAGCAGGCCCAAUUUGACUGAGAGCCUUCCCCCACUAAGGUAGGUAAGAGCCCUUUCCCCAAGUUCAGAGAACUGUUGCCGGGCUUUGACCUGCAGCCUUCGAAGGGCGGCUUGGGAUCCCCAAACCUGCUGGGCUGGUUCUGCAGCCCCUCCCCCACGCUGAUGUGGCGGUUGUGUGUGUGAAAUGGGCGGCCUGCUGGGUCCAUCCAGCCCCGCCUGUCAGCUUCUGCUGUGGGGCGUUUAGGGCGGGCGAUUCUCAUGCCGAAUUUAGCAGCUUACUAGAGCAAGGACUACCAAGUAUUUCCCAGUGGUGUGGUUUAUGGUGGCUGGGAGGGCCCUGGAAACUUCUGAAGACGGUGACUGCUGCCAGGUUUCCCAGUGGUGCUUCAGACAUUGUUCCUGAACCCCAUUAGGGGGACCAGCUGAGCCCCCUUCUGAUGUCUGCCUUGCUGGAUAGACAAAGAAGCAAAAGAUGUGAAGUGGUAGCCAGCUUCCCGAGAGAAAAGAUUUCCUUGGCUUCUCCUUUUCCUGGAUCCGAGCUCUCAACAAGGCCAGGUGUCGGUAGCCUGGCUUCUAGAACGUGACACAAACGGAGGCUGGCCCUUCACCUGUCUGUAGUGAUCUUACAGAGUCAAUGAGGUCUGUGCUUAGUCUCUGAGCAGGGUCUCCCCAGCUGCACCGGCAUCAGAAGUCAGUGGUUGGACCCAUUAAACCCGACUGUGCCCAUUUCUCGAGUUUCCCUCUUAGGCAGUUACAUCUAAGAACUUGCUCUUCUUACAAGGUUCCAGGUAGCACCAAGUUUCUAGACUCUCUCUAGUAGGUGGCACCUGGGAUGUCACCCAGCUUGGUGGCUAGCAGUUGGCUUGCCCUCCUCCUAGGCAGGAAGCUUUGCUGCUGAAACUGGUGUGGCCCUUGAUCCCUGACCCCUGGCCCCCUAGUGUGUUUCUCGUUUUGUUACUUUGAUAAGCCAUUUGGCCUCAGGUGCCGCGGCUCCUGCUGGCUUCCCCUAUUUGGGCCUCAGCUUCCAGCCUCUAGUCUUCUCUUUUCUCCUCACCCCUACAGUGAGUGCUGACGUGUGAGUCGGGGAGCCUGGAAGGCUUCCCUGAGUUGUUGCUGGAGGCAGAUUGGUGCCUAAUCAGGGUGCUUCUAGUCUGGCAGCUGUAGGUUAGAUGUGGACCUAGCUAGUGACCUUGGACCAUUGCCUCUCUUCCCCCUCCCCGGGUUAAAAAGACCACAAUACCUGCUGGAAAAGGUUGGUGGGAGGAUUAAGUGAGAUUAAGAGGGCCAGACUCCUGCUCUGACCUCACAACCAGUUGGCCUCCAUUGUGAUAAGGAUUGUUGCUGGGAGUGGUUGCUGCCUGCGCCGGUGGGGGCUGGGCUGUCUCCAGGGCUCCUCCCCGCCAGCCCACUUCCUGAAGCACGUGCUGGAGCCUCCAGGCAAAGGAGAAAGAAAACUGGCUUUGCUUGGGAAGGCAGCCAGCCCUGUUUUUCUUCUAGUGUUUGAGUCCAGGCUGUUCCCGGGGCUCCGUAGGCUGUCCUGUGGUUGGGUCGGGAUUUAAGGGCCACCCACCAAUAGCCCCAAGAGAAGAAAUGUCUCACCCAAGGUUAUGAGGCCACCACGGAGCAGAGCCUGGACAGGGUUCCAGGUGUCUUGAUUUUCAGCCCAGAACCUGGGCCCGUGACACCCCCUUGCCCAGCUGUCUGGGUUAUUUUAGGCUCCCUCCCGUGCCAGCUGUCUGCCUUUAUCACUGCCAGAGAGAGCUGUCUGGUAUAGCAAGGCUCCACAAUGGUCCCGUGGCUCCCGCUGGUGCAGAGGGCCAGGCAUCAAGUCCGUCGAUGAGCUGGCUUUCUGCUGGGAAGGCUGAACUCCUCACCCCUAUUGAGAAGGGGGGCGGGGAGAAGAGCGCUUUGCUAGGUUGGUCUCGUUCAUACUUUAGAUACCUGGUAAGCCUUGGAACACAACUGAUCAACCCUAAAGGCUCUGGUUAGAGUCCUUGGAUCUGGCUGGGGUCUUUAUCUCCUCCAGCCUCCCACUAAUUGAUUUAAGUCGCGCUGUGUCAGCUGUACCCUGGAGGGCUACAGGCUUUAGGGAGCAAUUAGGCGCUAAGCUGUGACGUGGUGCUUGAAAGGGGAAGAUGGAAGUGACCGGGACCAACUUGUGGCUUGCUCUCUACUUCAGGUCUUUUCCACCUCUCUCUCUCUCUCUCCUUUCUUUGGCCCCUUAUCACCUCCUGGGCUGUAGGGUGGGGCAGUUUGUCCUGCUGUUGUUCCUGGCCCCGAGGGGUGCCCCGCCUCCUGGUCACCCACGGAGCGUGGGGCGGAGCCGCUCUGGCCUGCAGAGAGAGGGCCACGCCAGCAGAAGGCUUGCCUGAACUGGGAGGUGGCUGUACUCGAUUUACUACACGAGAUUCCAGUGUCCCCGCCCCUUCCGGCUCCUCCACCUGGCCCCGAGCCCAAGUUUGGAAUAUGACCUUUUUAGACUCUCUGCAACCGAGGUGGGUCGGAGGACCCGCCAUCCCCGCUCUCCACGGCCCCCAGUGUUUUCUCGGAUUGUUCCGUGCCAAUGGGAACCAGGAGGGAAAGUUGAACAAAAACCUUCAGAGCUAUUAAAUUGUCGCGUGAUGGAGGAGGGUCUUGCUGUGUCCGGGCUAGUCCUAGUGACAGGUUAGGACCCUAGGUAUAUCCCUUUGUACCAACGUUCGCUGGUUUUCCGCCUGGCUUCCAGAAAUCACUAAGCCCAUCCUCUGCUUGUUCCCUGGAGCUGUUAAGUAGCUGAGACUUGGAGCGGUCAGGCUGCCUAACCAGGUAGAUAAGAUAGCCUGGCUUCACCCCUCUGCUAGAGUCUUUAUCUCCCCCCUCUUAUCCGUUCCAUCUGCAUUUGGAUAGCUCAAUAAUUGAUUUAUGGGGCCUCUGAAUAGGGGAGUGGUGGCCUUAGCCUCCCCCACCCAAAUUUGUACUUUGUCCUUAAAGGCUGCAGUCUGUUCUCCUCUGCCCCCCUGGAUCUGAGCUUUAGUCUCUGCAGUGACCAC